AAAAUUUUAUGUCAAUCAAAAUAUUAUAAAUAAAUUAAAACAGAGAGAUUAUUAUCAUUAUGAGGAGGAUUUGAAAGUGAAUCAAGAGUUGGGCUAAUUAGUUGAAAAAAGAAACAACCUAAAAUGAACCUACGAAUAGGGGGAGACAAAACUUGACCUUUUUAUAUUAAAGAAAAAUUUCAUUAAAUGCUUUAAGUAUUAGCUGUAAGAAUUUUUACUUGUUUUUUGACUAAUUAAUAAAUACGACUAGUUUGAUUUUCUUUGGGAAUAACGUAGACCAACUGCGUUUUUUUAUAUAUAGUAUGAUUAGCGAAAGAUAAUUGUUGUAAUUAAAUAAUAGAAAUAUUUUGUUAUUUUUAUUUAGCGUCAGGUUAGCAAAGAAUUAUCCAAAAAUCCUAAUUGGUUCUGAUCAAUGUAUGCAUUGAGCAUACCCAGCAGUGGCACUGAGUCAGGCGCGACAUUGAGGAUUACAUUGUAUGCAUUGUAGUGUCUGAUCAAUGUAAACAUAGGUUGUUAUCUUGCACGUUGCAACCAUACAUCUAGGAUUGGUUCGACAUGGGUUGUUGAUCUUCUUUGGGGAUAUCACGCGUAUAUAUGAAUUUGCAGGUUUCUAUUCUGAAACAUUUUGUAGGUUUAUUUACAUGAAAAAACAACAAUUUGUUGCCAACCGAGCAUCGAACGAAGCAUGUUCCAGUUUCGGAUAGUAGCUGGUUUUGGCCUUACGAUCCAGUUUCAGAUGCAUGCUCCACAUGAUAAAACAAAACAAUUCAUCGCCCGACGAGUGAAUGUUUGAGACAAUUAACAUGUUAGAAGAGUCGCUAAAGCAAUUAGUCGAGUGACUCCAACGUUUAUAUGUUCAAAACAUAUGUCGGGCAUACAUCUAAAGAUUUGACAUAGCAGCUGUUUUUUGUCUGUCUUUAAGCUAGUUGGGAAGGUAUUGCACAUGAAAGUAGAGUGUUUGAAAAUGCGAUUGUUGAUCUAUAGGCAAAAUUUCCGUUUCCACCCCGAGGAAUAUAAAAGCAAUGGUGUAAUAUUUUCAGAGUAUGAACAUAAUAUAGCUGUUGAUGGCAUUGACAGGGAUUAACAAUGUUUUUUUGUCUUUUAAGACAGUUGAUCGAGAAAUAUGUAUUAUUCACACAAUAUAGGAGAACCAUAUCAGAAAAUAGCUAUUUAUUAGUGUUGUUGACUUUUUGUACUAAUGACUCUUUGUAAUAGUAUUAAAAAAUAGUCAAAGUGUAAUAGUAUGUAGUAGCUCGUAUAAGAGAUUUUAUCCAUGA